AUAUCUGCUGUUGUUGUUGCUCUACU
rnacentral:sRNA from 1 species